rnacentral:lncRNA from 1 species
UGUGCACAAGGGCACGCAUGAAAUGUCUGGCCCACGGUAAACAAGUACGGACGCUGCAAAUAAUCUACUCUGCUCGUCCAGUCCCUAGCCUAUAAAUAGAUGCCAUGCUAGCUCUUGUUGUGCUCACAAUUAAUCCUGACUACACACGAGCUUCUCUCCCUGGCCAAGACACAAUCAUAGUAUGAUGAAGAACAUGGCACUAGCCGGCAAUGGUAUGAAGAACUUAAUCCUCGCUGUUCUCUUACUGUGUCUAGUUAUAGGGCAGAUACAAGUGGAAGCUAAGAGCUGCUGCCCAUCCAUUACUGCAAGAAAUAUCUACAAUGCCUGCCGUAUCACGGGUACAUCCCGUCCAACGUGUGCAAAACUGUCAGGCUGCAAAAUUAUCAGCGGGGACAAAUGCAAGCCCCCUAACGACCACCUCACCCUUGACCCGGACACUGGUAAAUAAUAAAUUUAUCUCACUUGAUUUCUUCGUGUUUUGAGUCGUUAAUGUAUUUUCCAUCUGAUGAAACGUAUUGGUUUUGCAUUGAAGAGGAAGUUAAUGUGCUUAACUUCUGCAAGUUGGGGUGUGCGUCGUCUGUGUGCAACAACAUCAACGCUGGUAAGCACCUUUUGCUCAGACGGAGAAAACAAUAAUCAUUAAUUAGCGGCAGCUAGAAUCCUAUAAUCUAAUAUAUUUAUAUAUAUAUAUAAUUUUAUCAGCUCUGGGAAAUGAAGAGGCGAACGAUGCCGUUGAGAGUUGCGACCAAGCCUGCUCUAGCUUCUGCAACGUGCACGUUGGCGCUGCCACCGUGGUUGCUUAAGCAAAUGCAUCCAACUGGAUCGUCCUUGUGCUAAAUAAUUGGAUAUCGUAUCCACUUAAAGCUGCCUUGUGUAGUACGUUUUUGUUUGUGUCUCUCUUUAUAUUCCAAUAAGGUCGGUGAUCUUGAUGCCACACACUCAGACGUGUGUUCAUCUCCAGAUACUACUCCAUGCUACCUGCCCUUUGUGUUUUGUUCAAUAACUGGGUAUCAUAUCCCAGCCAGUGUGCCAUCUGUUUUGUGUUUAUUUCCUUCUAGUUUCAAAGGGGUUAUCAUGAUGUUACCUUCUUUCGAUAUGGUGCUUUGCAUGACUACUGUUGUAUGGUACCAUCUUGUUGGCCAAUAAAUACAUCUUAUCCUAUGACCCUUUGCUAUGACCCUUUGCAAAUAAGUACAAGAUUGUUAAAUACUCGGUAUAAAUUGACUACUGCUGUGAGUUCCCUUUCAGCUUAUCGUAGGCAUACAUUAUUGCUAGCACGGUGAAGACAACCAACACGAAUGGUCAAGUAAACGUACCGGUACUUUUGUAUACCAACACCCUUGCUUAAAUGUACCGGUGUUACUCCCCACUAGCACAUAUAUUCUUAUAUGCUAGCCGGCUUGAAAAUUAACCGAUUAAAAUAAUUAUUUCAAGACAGAAAUAACUUAUCGGCUUCUCGAAGCAUGUGUAAUGUGAAUUCAAGGACUUGAUGGAAGUUGAAUCGCUUAAUCUAGAUUGCUUUCAGGAUUUUGGGUAACUAAAUUUAACAUUUGCACAUACAAAUGUUAAUGUACAAAUAUUAAAUAUAGUUACCCAAGCAGAAUAUGAAGAUACUCUAUAGUAUAUAUAUACUAUAUAAAUCUAGUUAACAUUUAGUCUAAAUGUUAAAUCUAGUUACCUAAAAUCCUGAAAGCAAAAUGUAUAAAUAUAUAUCUUUUAAGGAAUCCCAAAGCAAGAGUUCAGUGGCAUUCUAUAGUCCCAUGCUGCUAGUUUGAGUUGGUCGAAGCCAACUUAAAUAGGAGAGCUCUCUCACUUCUCUAAAUACGUAACUGAAGGAGAGAAGGGGGCUUGGUUACACAACGCACGCACGCACGCAUAUUUGCGUUCUUUUCGCGUAACCAACCGCGUGACUUGAAACUUGCGACGUAGCGUGCUGCCAAGUCAAGUUGAUAUAACCUUUUUGCCGUAGGCGUGUAAUCUUUUGACAACGGUCAUUGGAGGUGAUAAGCACGCAGUCAAUACCUUAAUCCUGAGUUAAUAGGGCGGUUACUACUGCCAAUUAGUGGGGCAAUUUUGUAGGGGAAACGGUUAGCAGAGGGCUACCAUCUUCUCUAUAAGAAGUUCUGGAGACGUCCAGGAACACACAUGUACAUGUGAGAGACCCACGAAUUCCUUCCCAUCUCCCUUUUCCAUCUGGUGAAGUGUGCUAUGGUACUGAGCUGCUGGAUCUCGCCGGCUCUUCUCCUUGGCGUGCACCGAGGAGGAGGGUGAGCGGUAUCUCCGAGCUAUUGCCGUCAGGAAGCCUGCACGAGGGACAACAAUAAAGUUUUUGGGUAGCGCAACUACGCAACCGCUCGAUUCGAUCGACUAUGUUCUGCGCUGCCUCAUCUUCGAUCUGCACUGCAACACGUAACCCUGCAGCAAGUCUACACAAGGACGGAGCACUAAUCUGUAAGUCCUAGAUUGGUUUCUUACAGAGUUGUAGGUUACACAAGAUCUAGAAUUGUUACAUACUUAUUAUUAUGGGUUACAUGAUGUUUUGUACGGUUACGUCUAUUUUGCAUAUGCUAUUUUUACAUACCGUUUACAUGCAUAUGUAAUGGUUACGCCUAGCUAUUUGAAUCUAGAAUUGGGUUACAUAGCAGUAGCAAUGACUUACGUAAUAUGCCUCAUGUUUAUAUCUGGUAGAAUUUAACACGUAUCUCCAACAUAUUUUGAGGCAGUAUAAAUUUCAAUUCCUUUUGCUGCUCUGUUAAAUCCCGUCUUUCGUGUGGCCCAACACUCUAGUAUGCAUGUAGCACCAAGCUUGUUUGAGCCGCUUUGUGCUCUGAUUUUGCUGUCUGUAUCAGGUUGGACUGUUUCUUUGUCUUGCGAUGUAUAGCUUCAUAUCUUCUAGAGGUUAGACAGCAAAACCCGCGUUCUCUUAAGGCAACAACUCGAAGAAUCUGCAGCGCUCCUGAUAUAUCACUGCUGCAGAAACAAUCUUUAGUACUGAUUUCCAACCCCCUUUAGUAUCGGUUUGGCAAUCAGUACCACUACGUCGGUACUAAAGGGAGUUCUCUAGAAUCGGGUCAAAUAACUGGUACUAAAAGUGCUCCUCUACUACCAGUUGGUAACACCAAUAGGUAGUAACUUUUUUUGCACCCAAAAAAUUAAAGAAAAACAGCCGGGAGGCUCGCGCACACACGCAUCAUGAGUAAUAUGCGCGUGCAUGGUUUGUGGGAUUCCAACCCACGACCAAGCUAUAAGCACGUAGUUACAAAAAAAUUAAACACUUAGACAUUUUAGAGCAUCCCAAAUAACUACAAAUUCUUUAGUUUACCAUAUACCAUAAAAUAUUAGUUAAAAUAAGAGCAUACGCACGUCGGAAGAGUCCCAAUGCACCGGUUGAGGAUCAGACCAGGCACUUUGAAUGCACAUGCCAUAAGAUAAUUCUGCAGGACGAUGAUUGCAAUAAUGGACCAUCGAGAAGAUAGGGGCGAUGGGGUUGCCUCAUCAAUUAUGACUUGGCGCAACAAGACCAGCAAAGUCUUUAUCGACAGGGGUGGAUCAAGGGGUGGGGCGGGUAGAGCUCCAAUCUUCCUACCGCCGCUCGAACAAUGGAGCCCCCCUUAGCCCCUCCAUAAAUUUUUAGGUAGAAGAAAAAAGAAGAGAAGGGAAGGAAGGGGAAGAAUAGGGAGCCCCUCCUAAGUAGGUCGCCAUCGUGCUUCCCAACGCAUGAUCGCCGCACCGCAUCCAUUCCUCUACAAGCCUCCAGCGUCUCUCCUGCCGCUACCUCUGAACCAUGUGCAGCUGCAGACCCAACUAGUGUCUUGUCACCCAUCUCAAUCCCAACAGAGCGGCGGCUCCUGCCAGCACAAAUCUCCCUCCGCCUGUUCUUCACGAUCGAUGGCCACCACAAGCAUAAACCUCGCCUUCGCAUCCACGCAAAAGGGUCGCCGGUGUGCCUUCUCGCAUCGCUUCUCAGCCUCCUUCACUUGCGGCUGGCCAAGAACCGUGCCACCACCUCGGGUGCGCGCCACCGCUCCAGGGCCGCUACCCCAUGCGUGCGGCCGCCGCCGGCCACCACGCGUGUGCAACCGUGUCGCACCGCUUCCCUGCUCUGUGCCACCACUGCUACUGCACCACCAGCUCCACCACCUUGGGCUGGUCGCCAGGGUGACUGAUUGGUGGAUUAUUACUACAAAUAAGUUCCUUAUUAUCUGCAACUACUAUUAACUCAGGGAUACAUGCGUCUUUUGCUUCUCCUGUUAAUAUGUCCUAAAAUAUCUAGAAUGCCUUAUAUUUCUGGACGGAGGAAGUAUUUGAAUAAAAUGAACCAAUUUUAAAAAAUGUGUUGUACACUACUACAGAAAGAACUAUCAGUGUCAAACCCAAAAAUGUCGUCACUGCCAGUUUUGGGCAUCGUUGGUGAAAGGUUGGCGGUGAUGGGUAUCCCCUUCAACAACGGCACUAGAGCUAACAGUGAUUGACAUUAGAAAACGAAAAAGGGGACCCACCUAGCCACCCCUGCAACCCGGCUGGCCGUGCCUCCCGUCAUCCCCACCACCUCGCCUCCCCCGUGACCCCCCGCCGGCGCCCUUGCGCCUAGCCCCCUCGCCUGCCUGGCCGGCCACCCUCGUCACGAGAGAGAGGGGUGCAUGUUGUAUAAUUGCGUGAAUUUUUAAUGUUUAAUUUCAUGUAAGUUUCAUAUAAUAAAUUGUACAAGUUUUAUUGUAUAUAUGAAUUCCAUAUAUAUAUAUUUAUAAUUUAAUGUAUGGUUUCAUGUGUAUAUUUCAAUAAUGUGUAUAUUUAGUAGAUAGCCGAUUUUCUUUUUCUACAAGACAAGGGUUGAUGUAUAAUUACGUGUAUAUGUUUAUUGUACGGGCAAUUAGGACAAGUUUUGUAUAAAUUUCUUUUAUUUCAUGGUUGUUGUAUGGUUUCAUGUAUAUACAUUUAUUGUACUACUUGAGACAAUUUUUAAUUUAAUGUUUCUAUGGUUACAUGUGUGUAUAACUAAUUGUAUUAUUAGUUAAGAUGGGAGCCAAAGAGGAUGAAAGGUAUAUAAUGGAGCAGAUUAUUGCUGGCGGUAGUGGCUCAAACGUUGCAAGAACCUACAUCAAGGGUGAGGGUAGCUAGGUGGACAUGUACCUCAACAUGUCCAGUGAUGGCAAUGACGAUGAGGAGCACGAGCAUGACGUUUAUGAUAGUGCGGAACAAGACAUUGCAGAAUUGGAAGGUUCUAAUGAGGUGUGCUUCAUGUUGAUGAUCUGGUUGGCUUUUUUUCUUUGGUCACACCUUAGUUACCAUAGAACUUCGUCUCGGGAGAAGAUUGGAGGUGCUAUGGUGAUUGGAAUUUUAUUGCCUCCAAAUAUGAUUUCCAUCGAAUCAUAUCCCUUGUAUUUAUCUUCUUUUUAUUUGUGAGAGCAUCUUCUUUAUGCUUGCAAAACAAUUCAAGUGCACAUACUACACCUAGGGUGAUGAUUAGGAGUAGAAACAAUUGCCAACAAACGAACACCACAUCCUAAGAUUCUUAACUUGUGGUAUAAUUAGUCUAGUAAAAAGAAAGAUAAAAACCUAAUGGGUGUACGUGAGUGCAAUGCGUAUAUGCAUAUGAGUGGAAGGCAUAUAAGCAAAGAUAAUAUUUACACAUAGAUCUAAGCACCAUGUUUACAACUAAGUUGCUGAAUUUCUCCAUAGCUAUAGAGAUUAAUGAACCAAGGUCAAAACACCAUGUCUAUCCCAAGAUCAGUAAUUCUUUAUAGCACAAGAAAAAGAAAGCGCAUUGCAAAGUUUAUAAACCAACCAAUGCAGCAUGAAAACAAGAUGAAUAGCUAGCAAGGUUUAUUAAACUGAAUGAUGACGGUCUGCAAGCAAGUUUGAACACCAUCUUUACACAAGAUUGCAAAUGGAAAAUUCCCAUAUGAAGAACUAACAUGGAUAUGAAAUCAUUCAUCAUAAAGCGUAAAGAACAACCAAGCCAACCAUAUGCAAAGCAUGAAUGGAAUGCAAUGAAGGUGCAAGAGAACAUUUUUGGAUGAACCCAUUAUGAUGAUGGCAAAAUGCGCCGUGCCCCCCAGCCCCCGCGGUGAGAUCCCGCCGCUCGCUGCCGCCAGACCCUAUUAGGCCUCCACCGGCAGGUCCACCCACGGUCCCGCGCGACGUGGCAGCCUCUUGGCUCUCGGCGCUCGCGGCACGCCAGUGCUGGCGCAGCCCCACCAGGCGACUACCCUCCCCCCAUAAGGCCUCGGCCCCUCCCCAGCGCCGCCCCCCAACACCAGGACUGCCUGCUGCCCCCCACCGUGAGGUAAUCGAAAUCGACUGCUCAAUCUCUCAAUCUGUUGAUAUGAUGCACACGGUUGCAAAAAUAGAUGUGUCAAAAUAGAUGUUUUGCCAAUUGCUAUAGAUGCAUACGGUUGACAUGAAGUCAAAAAUGACAUUUGGUUCCUUGUAGGCAGUCAAAAAUGAAGAAGUCAAAAAAUAUUGAUCUGAAAUCAAUGUGGGAAAGGGCUAUGAAGACACGCAGGUAGAUUCCCUUGUGAACUUUUUAUGUCGUUCGUCUAAAUAAUUUUUUGCAAUGGGCAUACCCUACUCUGAAAUCCUGGGUCCGCCACUGAUGAUGAUGGUCUAAAAAUAAACCAAGCCUAGAUUAAUUAGCCACAACUGAAAUUAAGCAAAGGUUAAUGUCAUUGACCCUAGCUCUAUCCUAGCUUUUACCAAAGUUCCGGCACAUAUAGUGGUUGGGCCCACUCUCUCUGCUUCCCUCUCUGCUGCAUGCACGCACACGAGCAACGGGAGGCCCGACGAAGCCCAGAAGGGUUCGGCCGAACCAGUAUGAGCGCCGCUCCCUCCCAGCCUUCGCGCAGAUGCUCCUCCAACGUUCCUUGACCCCUCCCUCAGCGUCCCGUUGGGUUUAACAUUGCAGGAGAGGAGUCCCUUUUUUAAAAUCUCAACCACCUCCUCUCCCCAUUCACUCCACUCUCAUCUCCAUCAAACUCACCAAGAUCCGCACCGGAAAUCCCUGCUUACCACCAUGGCUGGCAAAGCCCUCAUCCCUUUCACCAACUUGGGCUUGACCACUGAUCUCGAUGGGGAAAUCACUCUGGCAAAUAUGCGUGUAACACUGCCCCCUUUGCCGAGGGUUAAAGCCAAAACACUCAGCAAAGUGGAUAGUACCCCCCUUUUUACCCGUUUUGUCAUGUAUAACGGACCCCUCUCAAUUCACAAUAGACAUCAUCAUAGGCAUUUAUAAUAAACAAUCACAGGCAUAAUUCACAAUCACCAUUACAAGCAUUAUUCAUAAAUAUCACAGACAUAAUCCAAAGUAAGCAUGAAACAAGCCAUAAAUCCAAGUUCAAGUCACAACUAAGUUUCAUCCAAGUUCAAGUCACAAAUGCAAUGUCUAAAUCCAUGGAGGCCAAGGAGACCACUGCGACAAAUCUUGGUCUUCAUUAUUCGAAGCCGCCGAUUGAUUCUGCACAUAGGAUAGGACAUUCUGAGCUAACAUCUAAAGUUGUCAAAAUUAAAGUAUUCAAUCUUAAGCACAAUGUGUCAAAUGACUCACAGGAGUAGUUGUGGGUGGCUGAGGCGGAGGGAACAGCAUCGAUGGCGGUGGCAAAGAUUGACCCAUGCUCGAAGCAAAAUUCUGCAUGUACUGGAACAUCUGGUCCAUCCUCAUCCGAUUUUCUUCCUCCAUCCUCUGCCGCUCGGCCUCUAACCUCCGCUGAACCAUCUGCUCCAUCCUCGCCGCCAUCUCCUCUUGUUGCUUCCUUGCUGCUUCCACCUGGGCCUACAAUAUUUCAUUGCAAUGUUACAAUGCAAAGCUAAAGUAUAGCAACCAACGAACAAUGAAUGGAAGAGAAAGAACCUGGAGAGCCUCCAUCUGGAACUGUCCAAUGGUUGGUCGUAGCCGUAUCGCCGGGCUCGAGUCCGUGCUCCUUGCUUGGAUCUGGGAGAGAGUGGCAGUAGAGGCCGUGUUGAUUACGCCGUCGCCAAUCCAAUAUCGGCCAUGCUUCUUGCCUCCUCCCACCCUCAUCACGAUUUCUCCAUCAAUAUCCUCAGAGCUUGAAUCGAAGUCUGGCCCGUGAACCUCCCUUGCCAUCACUGUAUAUUCCUUUGCCGAGUGCCCGAGAUAAAGCACUCGGCAAAUAGAAAACACUCGGCAACUUUACUGUUUCCCGUAGUGUCGCUAUUUUUGCAGGUUCUCGACCAGGCCAGUUCUUUGGGCCAACCUAUCAUUCACGACUUAAACAUACGGUGGCUGUAGAAAUGUUCUAUUCUUUUCAACAAUACCAGCUGGUUCCUCCGUUUUUAUUCCACCAAUACAAGCACCACCUUGUAACAUUUCCUAUGUUUUUUUUUCCUUUCGUCUGUUUUCUACAUGCGUUGCUCUUUCAUGCAUUUUUUUCCAUUCCUGUAUUCCAAAUAGGUCUACAUGAACACAAAAUGAACUAGGGGACAGAAAAAGCCAGUGAAGCCAAUUUUGAGCUUCACCAGCUACUUGCUACAUAAAGUGUGCUAUAGUGACGUGUUUUAGCAAAACAUGUUAUCAAUGACUUGACAUUGGUGACGUGUUAAAACGCGUUAUCUCAAUGGCAAAUCAUUGGUGACGUGUUUUAAAAAAACAUGUCACCGUGAGAGUCAUUGGUGAAGGGUAAUUAUAAUGCGUCACUAAUGUUGUAGCAUUAGUUAUGAUAAUUUAGUAACGCAAAAAUCUACCAUCAGUAUUGAGCUUUAGAGCCAUCGCUAAUGUGGGUUUCUUACAUAGUGAUGCAAGCUCUACAAGGUGCUGUUGCUGCCAUUUUAAAGCAUCCCAUGACUACAUGUUAAUAACAUAGUUUACCAUAUAUCAUAAAAAUAUUAGUUACAAUAAGCACAUACGCAUGUGGAAGAGUCCGAAUGCACCGGUUGAGGACUAAACACAUUGAAUUACUAGAACCAAAUGUGUGUUUAGAACAAAGACAGGGGUCAAGGUUUGGGUAACCGCAUUAAAAACAUUGGAUUUUACUGUACAUGAACACUUAGUUACCAUUACCAUGCCUUGAGCACCUAGUUACAACAAACAUUAAUUUAGCCACUUUAGAGCUUCCAGAAUCGCUAUAAAUAAUAUACCUACGCCGUACCAUGAAAACAUCAAGAAGAGAGACGGAUACAUGGACCACCAUCAAGCGAGUAGUGACAGCACGCACAAGAAUACCCGGAACCUGUUAGCUUGUCUGUAGUGAUCUGUUUUCUUCCCCAUAAAAUCCAUGAGUAUUGCCACAAAUAAUGAAAGAGGCUGACCAAGCUAGCAAGGAGGUAGAGCAAACGUGAUACACGGCCUGCCAAGAUUGCCCUGGAUACGCCAAUAAGAGCGACAGAUACAUGGAUCACACCAAUAUGGUGAAACGUAUAUUCAUCACACAAGCAAAGCUGGUCAGUUUAUCCAUGGUCAAAUUGUGGUCUUUGUUUUCACUUGAGAGCUAAUUGAGGCACUAUAAUAUGGGCAGGCCUAUCUUCAACAGACAUGACAGCUACAGGGAACUUGACAUAAUUUGCUGGGCCGCCUGUGCACAAUUAUUUGUUUUAUUGUCCUUGCAUAGAAUGCUAAAAUACUCUUUACAAAAUGUUGGAUCUAAUAUUUGAAAUAUAGAGUAGUAAUCAUAUAUUGAUCAACAACUUGAAAUUAUCUGUACAUUCUCGGUGAAGCUGUUGAACUAAUUUUUGCAAAUUAUUAAUUCAUCUCAUUACGUAAAGAAAAAAGUAAGUGGAUAAGAUAUUUCGUGGACCACAUCACUGCAAACAUGUCAUGGAGAGACAGACCAAGGAGGCAGGACGUGAUACACGACUUACCCUAGGUUGCCGUGGAACCGCCAAGAAGAGAUACAGAUACAUGGACCACACCAUCUUGGGAGUAGUGACAGCAUAUAUGCAGAAGAAUACCCCGUGCCUAUUUGCAUGCAUGUCUCAAGUGAUCUGUUUUCUUCAGAAAAUACAUGAGCAUUGCCAGAAAGAAUGGCAAGAGACAAACAUGUCAUAGAGACUUGCAUGUCUUGCCUUGGAUACGCCAAGAAGAGGGACACAUACAUGGAUAACACAAAUCUAGUGACACGUAUAUUCAUCACAAAGGCAAAUCUGAUAAUUUUAUCCAUGGAGCAGACCAAGGAGAAAUUGAUGACGGACAUGUGAUCUCUGUAUUCAGUUGAAAGCUAAUUGAGCUACACUAAUAUGAGCAGGACUAUAUUCAAGAGACUUGUUGAGAGCUACAGGGAACUUGUAAUAAUUUGCUGGGCGGCCUGCGCACAAUGAUUUGUUAUACAUAGUUGAAAUAUUUCAAGAAUUUAUCAACCUCAUACUCUGAAACCCUUGGUGCAAUGUACUCUGCUUUCCGAGGUAGACUGUUCACGUAAAAUGAGGUCAUGCGUAAGACGGAAUCGGAUUGGAUUCACAGGGAAUCAGAUUUGGAUAGCACCUUUUAGCAGGUUUUUAGUCAAAUGCAAAUUCGGAUCCACAUGUGGUUGAAUGCGAGUUCAAAAUUCUACUUGGAUAUCCAUUUAAUUUAGGUGAUAGCAAUUAGCACAAAAUGUUGGAUGAACAAAAUCAUAGUUAGACAUACAAUUACAUGUAUGGUUAAAGUAUAAUACAAUACACCAAGAUUAUUCCUUGAAAAUAUUUCUUAAAAAUAUUAUAAUAAAUGAAUAAAUAUAAUUGUGGCCACCAACAAAUAGUCGGUGGUCGCUAAGUUGGAGCCAUUUCUGGUUACUAAUGCGGCCUUCUCCUCGACCAGCGACGACAGCUGAGCUUGUUCCUUCUGACACUAAAUCAUCAGAGUCUUCCCUCCACUACUAUAGAAUGCACCUUUAGCACCAAUUGGGAAAUCCCCUUCAGUAUUGGAUGCUGCAACCAGUGCUAUAUAUCAAAAUGGAGACUAAAAGCCUCGGUCUUGGGUACCGGUUGCAUAACGCAUUACUAAAGGAGGCAAAAGAGAAAUGUAACAAAAAAAAUAUUUUGAAUUCCAAGAAUGUUUCACUAUUCAAGAUGACUAGCUGAGAGUCAACAGACAAGAUACUAGGAAUGUGGGUGCUUGAAUGCAUUUGUACAGAGGUCAUACUAUUUACAAACUCUUCUAUGUUUCCAUAUGACUACCUACUUCAAUGUCACGCGAGCCAUUCAGCUGGACACAUGGCACACUAGCUUGCAUGUCGAAUCCAUGAUUAAUUAUUUCCACUUGUGAUCUCUUACCAGUAUUUGUCCAGACUAGAAACGUGCAACACAUUUUUAGGAUAUGGACACGCAUAUAUUUGGACUAGUAUACAGGUCACCUUUGGAUGCGUACAAGGAUGACCGGGAGGGACUAGAAAUGGUCUAGUUUUGAUUGGACUACAAAACUUUUUGUACAGUGAAUAGAGAAUAUAUAUUAUUGUUGGAAUACGAGGUAGGCUACACUAUCGCAAUUCUGAUAUUCUACCGCGUAUAACCAAGAAGAACUGUCGUAUAAGGAUCACGGGAUUACCACUCGACGCACUACUGGUGCGGAAGAUGUAGAUAUGCGUCGAUGCAGUGAAGACGAUCACGUAGUCGUAUGUAGUCGAUCAACGUAGUCGUACAUAGUCGAUCACGUCCAGCAGCUCCUCAGCAGCUCGUCCACGUGCAGCAAGAUCGCCUCCGGUACCGCGGCUCGUCGUUGGCUUGUCGUGGCUCGUCGACGGCUCGUCGGCGGCUCGUCCAAGUGCUGCAGGCGCAACACCUCCAAGGUAUCCACACGUGCAGGGAGGAAGCGUCGCAAGCCGGACUGCUAGAUCCACGAGUUGCAACAGGCGAGGGCGUGGGAGGCGCGGCAGGUGUGUUUCGCCAAAAAGGUGUAAACCCUAGGGCGCCCCCACCCCUCUAUUUAUAGAGGUUCCUGACGGGCCUCUGGAUCCGAGGCCCAUUAGUACUUCUAAACCUAAUCCAACUCGGAUCAGAUCCGAAUUGGGCUUCCAGCCCCUUAAGUGUGUGACCCUAUAAGUUCGGAUACGUAUAGACAUGGCCCGAGUACUCCUACUCGGCCCAAUAGUCGGUAGCGGCCUCUAGCAAGACGUGCCAACUCCUAUACGCACACGAAGAUCAUAUCAGACGAACCAUCACAACAUAAUAUACAUGCUAUUCCCUUUGCCUCACGAUAUUUGGUCUAGCUUCAAGCCGACCGCUCUUUCUCAGUCCUGUGAUUCGGAAUCCCUUUGUAGGUUAACUCUUAACCGUACGUAGCAUGGCCAUGCAUUUUCGGAUCUGAUCACUCGAGGGGCCCAGAGAUAUCACUCUCAAUCAGAGAGGGGCAAAUCCCAUCUUGAUUGACCAUGUCUCAUAGCAUGCUUCUUGACAAACCUAAAAACUACCUUUAUAACUUCCCUGUUACGGCGUAGUGUUUGAUAGCUCCUAAGUAGGUCGAUCCACAUCUAGAAUACAUGCGACAAUUUCAGGUCUAAGGACAAAGCGUAUAUGUUGUUUAAAGAGAGAACUACUUCUCGUGUUGGGUCAGUCCCAGCACAUGUCUCCACAUGUGUCCACAUUAUUAGUUCAACAUCUCCAUGUCCAUGACUUGUGAAACAUAGUCAUCAACUAAUACAUGUGCUAGUCUAAUAUUCAUGUGUGUCCUCACAUGAACUCCGACUAGGGACAACUUUAGAAUAACCAUACAAGUAAAGAGUUUCACAUACAAUUCACAUAAUUGCAAAUCAAUUCAAGUAGCCUUCAAUGGAUAUUCAAUGAACACAACAUACAAAUCAUGGAUACAAAUGGAAUAUCAUCAUCUCUAUGAUUGCCUCUAGGGCAUACCUCCAACAGUCUCCCACUUGCACUAGAGUCAAUCUAGAAGGUACCUAAUACCCAUAGCUCUUACAUGCGCAUCAUGCUUAGCCUGCGGGAGUGGUUUUGUCAACGGAUCAGAAAUGUUCAGAUCCGUGUGUAUUUUGCAUAUCUUGAUCUCACCCCGGUUAACGAAGUCUCGAAUGAGAUGAAAUCGCCGCAUUACAUGUUUGUUCUUCUGGUGGUUCCUUGGCUCCUUUGCUUGCGCAAUUGCCCCAUUGUUAUCACAGUAGAGAUUCAAUGGGCUGGACCCAUUCGGGAACACACCAAGCUCAAUGAGGAAAUUCCUUAUCCAAACACCUUCCUUCGCGGCUUCCGAAGCCGCGAUGUACUCGGCUUCUGUCGUAGAAUCGGCCACCGUCUCCUGCUUGGAACUCUUCCAACUAACAGCACCACCAUUUAGCGUGAACACAAAUCCUGUUUGUGACUUUGAAUCAUCUCUGUCGGUUUGGAAACUAGCAUCGGUGUAACCUGUUACAACGAGCUCCUCCUCACCUCCAUAGACGAGGAAUAUAUCUUUAGUCCUUCUCAAGUACUUAAGAAUGUUUUUCACCGCUGUUCAGUGACUCUCACCUGGAUCAGAUUGGUGUCUGCUUGUCAUACUUAGCACAUAUGAAACAUCUGGGCGAGUACUUAUCAUUGCAUACAUGAUAGAUCCAAUAGCCGAGGCAUAUGACACUCUACUCAUGUGAUCCCGCUCAUCAGCAGUCGAAGGACACUGAGUCUUGCUGAGAUGUAUGCCAUGUGACAUAGGCAAGAACCCUUCCAUGCUGAACCGCUUCAACACUUUGUCAAUGUAAGUAUCUUGGCUUAAACCUAUAAGCCUUCUCGAUCUAUCUCUAUAGAUCUUAAUGCCCAGAAUAUAUGCCGCUUCCCCUAAGUCCUUCAUCGAAAAACUAUUUUUCAGUGAAGUCUUUAUGGACUCAAGCAUAGGAAUGUUAUUUCCAAUCAGUAAUAUGUCAUCCACAUAUAAGAUUAGAAAUACUACAGAGCUCCCACUAACCUUCUUGUAAACACAAGACUCUUCUUCGUUCUUGGUGAAGUCAAACCCUUUGACCACUUCAUCAAAACGAAUGUUCCAACUCCUAGAUGCUUGCUUCAAUCAAUAAAUGGAUCUCUGAAGCUUGCAUACCUUUCCAGCAUUUUUCGGAUCGACAAAACCCUUGGACUGUAUCAUAUACACGUCCUCAGUUAGGUUUCCAUUCAGGAAAGCUGUCUUGACAUCCAUCUGCCAUAUCUCAUAAUCGAAAUAUGCAGCCAAACUUGAUUGUCUCCCAUGGACUCUAUUUCGGAUUGCAUGGCAUUCUGCCAUUUUUCGGAGUCUGGGUCCAUCAUUGCUUCUGCAUAUGUCACAGGCUCAUCAUUGUCCAACAAUAAUAUUUCCUGCAUUUCGCGGAGCCUUGCCGACCUUCGUGGUUGUGGCGGUGCUUCUCUUGCCAUGGGUAUCUCAACUUGUUCUGCUACGUUAGCAUCACUCAUUGAUUCUUGCCCGAUCGGCUCAUCUUGAACUUCUUCAAGAUGCACUGUCUUUCCACUCUUUUCUCCUUUGAGAAACUCUUUCUCUAGGAAAACCCCGUUCCGAGCGACAAACACUUUGCCUUCUGAUCAGUUGUAAAAAUAAUAUCCCAAAGUUUCCUUUGGAUAUCCCACGAAAAUGCACUUAUCCGACUUGGGUGCGAUCUUGUCCGACUGAAGUCGCUUGACAAACACAUCACAUCCCCAAAUCUUUAGAAAAGACAAACUAGGAACCUUUCCAGUCCAUAUCUCAUAUGGUGUCUUAACUACGGAUUUAGAUGGUACCCUAUUAAGUGUGAAAGCUGCUGUUUCUAGAGCGUAUCCCCAAAAUGACAACGGUAGGUCCGACUGGCUCAUCAUUGAUCGAACCAUGUCUAACAAAGAUCGAUUACGUCGCUCGGACACACCGUUUCUCUGAGGUGAUCCAGGCGGCGUAAGUUGUGGAACAAUUCCGCAACUCUUUAGAUGAUUGCUAAACUUGUGGCUCAAAUACUCGCCUCCACGAUCAGAUUGUAAGGCCUUAAUUUUCUUGACACGCUAAUUUUCAACUUCAUUCUGAAAAUCCUUGAACUUUUCAAAGGUUUCAGACUUGUGCCUCAUCAAGUAGACAUAGCCAUAUCUACUAAAAUCAUCAGUGAAAGAUAUGAAGUAUUGGAAUCCUCCUCUAGCCGUCGUGCUCAUUGGUCCGCAUACAUCACUAUGUACGAGUUCCAACAAGUCUACUGCUCUCUCAGGAAAUCCUGUGAAAGACGUCUUGGUCAUCUUGCCUAGCAAGCAAGCCUCACAUGUCUCGUAUGAUUCAAAAUCAAACGAAGUUAGAAGUCCAUCAGAAUGGAGCUUCUUCAUGCGUUUUUCACUUAUAUGACCCAAACGACAAUGCCACAAGUAGGUAGGACUCAAAUCAUUAGGCCGAGGCCUUUUAGCACUUACAUUACAGACAGGUGAACCAUCAAGAUUUAAAACAAAUAAUCCAUUCACAAUGGGUGCAAAAGCCAUAAACAUAUUAUUCUUAGAGAUCACACAACCAUUGUUUUCACUCGCAAAUGAAUAACCAUCCUUCAUCAAGCAUGAAGGAGACAAAAUGUUUCGACUUAAACUAGGAACAAAAUAACAAUUAUUCAACUCCAUAAUAAAUGCUGACGGGAGGUGGAGUUGCAUCGUCCCGACGGUCAACGCAGCAACUCUUGCAUUAUUGCCCACGCGGAAAUCAACUUCUCCUCUUUCCACGCUUCUACUUCUUAUCAUUCCCUGCAUCGAAUUGCAAAUAUGAGCAACCGAUCCGGUAUCAAAUACCCAAGAAUUAAUAAUUGUAUCAGCGAGAAAUAUGUUGUCUAUGACAUUAACAACAAGCGUACCUGAGGUAGAAGUACUCUUACUUCCUCCAUUCUUCAACGAAGCUAGGUACUGCUUGCAGUUUCUCUUCCAGUGACCAAGUUCAUGACAGUAAAAGCACUCUUUGUCUGGAGCAGGUCCAGGUCCAGCUUUAACCUUGGGCGCUCGCUGGGUUUGGCUUGGAAAUUCCAGCCUUGCCCUUCUUCUUCCAAGAAUUGCCCUUCUUCUUAAAGCUAGGCUUGUUCUGUAUAGCCAUCACAUGGCUAGUACAAGCGCUUUUCUUGAUGUCUACCUCUGCUGUCUUGAGCAUACCACACAGUUCAUUCAAACCCUUCUCCGUCCCAUGCAUAUGGUAGUUCGAGAUGAAGUUCCCAUAGCUAGGCGGAAGAGAUGAAAGAAUGAAGUCAGUGGCCAACUCUUUGCCCAUUGGGAAGCCCAGCUUCUCCAAUCGCUGAGUGUAACCAACCAUGUUGAUUACAUGUGGUCCUACUGCUGCGUCUUCUGCUAGCUUGCACUCCAGAAAAGCUUUGGACACAUUGAACCUUUCAGUCCUAGCCUGUGUCUGGAACAUGUCCUUGAGCGCCACGAUCAUAUCGUGUGCCUCAUGAUUUGUUUCGAACUGCAUCUGCAGCUCGGGUUCCAUGCAAGCAAGCAUAAGGCAGCUUACCUCAAGAUUAGCAUCAAAUGCCUUCUUGUAAGCAGCCUUAACGGCAGCAGAUGCAUCAUCAGCAGGUACUGGUGGUAGUGGGGUAUCUAGAACAUCUUCCUUUUUAUCGGCCCUGAGAACAAUUCUCAGGUUACGGAUCCAAUCCGAGUAGUUUGUUCCAUUCAACUUGUCCUUCUCAAGGACCGAGCGCAAAGCAAACGAUGUGGUGGUGUUGCUAGGUGCCAUUUAAUCUACAACAAAAGUAAUGCAAAAUACACUAAGACAAACGUAUCCAUGAUAGAGCAAAUUACAUUAAACUAUUUUAACAGAAUCUACUCCCACUAAAAUCAAUAUCCCUCUAUUGAAACUUAGUGAUUCAGGAUCCACAACUAACAAGUCUACUAGUGAGCUUUAGCAUCACCGCUAGCAAACGAGGUAGAUCGGUAAGCAACUUUUGCUAAUCAUAUCACAUAUGACUCCUGUUGUUGGGUGACAUCUCCAUGUCUCGGCGCCCAACCAUUAUGCCCCAAGGUCCUUAACCGUUAAGAUGACCUCGUUAAGCAAACCAACCCUUAUGCGUGUAAGUGUCCGACACAAACCCGUCUAGUCAAGGAAAACUAGUGGCACCCUAAUUUCAUAGACCCACCACUAAUUGUACAAGACAUGGGACGGUGCAAGUUUUAGUUGGGAGGGCAUACUAACUUAAAUUUUUUGUGAGGGAUCGUUCUACUUCUAACAUCACAGCAUGCAGAAAGUAAAACAUAAACAGAAUAGCAUUCACACAGCUGUGACACAGUAUGGCCCGUUUUUAUAUGGUGAUCUCCAUCUCCAUAGAACCUGUUCACCAUGGUGAUCUCCAUCUCCAUGUUCCAUGUGCGCCAUCCUCCUGGUGAGGAGUCCUCCAAGAACUAGAACAUGCUAUUACACCUAAUAGCUAGUAAAGAAUCUAGUAAUGAAGAUUACAUAGUUGCUUGGAUCAUCACAGAUUGGUACGCAGACCAUUAAAUACAAUAAAGUGACAACACAUAUGGCUCCUGCCGUGUUGCCGUACGCGCGACACGCAGGUCACGAAUGAGUUACACACAUGCAUCACAUACACAAGGGGGCCAUACUGAUCACAAGAUACAUACAUACAUCCUGCAAAACAGAGUUAGGCGUCCUAACGUUCCAAACUUCGAAGGCCCGAAACUCCAUCUUCCAAGCCGAAUUUGGGAAAUCUAAUUUUGCCGAAAACGGCAAAGCGGUUGAAUUUCAUGUGUAACUUUUUCUGUAGAUCAAUUUUCAUAUAAAAUUCGCCCCGAUCCGAGAUCGUACCGAAAAGUUACGGCUGAUUUACCGAAGCAUACGCAUACGGCAAAAAUUCCGACCCCGGCAGUAGAUCCCAUCUACUAUUGCACAUCUAAUGCGCCUGGCGUAUGAUCCUGGAUUUCGAUUCGACCAAUCAUAUUGAUCUUCGCUCACUGCAACUGGAAUUACGUGUAUCACUUAACUCGUCGGCGGCUCGUCGGCGGCUCAUCCAAGUGCUGCAGGCCCAACACCUCCAAGGUAUCCACACGUGCAGGGAGGAAGCGUCGCAAACCGGACUGCUAGAUCCGCGAGUUGCAAUAGGCGAGGGCGUGGGAGGCGCCGCAGGUGUGUUUCGCCAAAAAGAUGUAAACCCUAGGGCGCCCCCACCCCUCUAUUUAUAGAGGUUCCUGACGGGCCUCUGGAUCCGAGGCCCAUUAGUACUUCUAAACCUAAUCCAACUCGGAUCAGAUCCGAAUUGGGCUUCCAGCCCCUUAAGUGUGUGACCCUAUGGGUUCGGAUACGUAUAGACAUGGCCCGAGUACUCCUACUCGGCCCAAUAGUCGGUAGCGGCCUCUAGCAAGACGUGCCAACUCCUAUACACACACGAAGAUCAUAUCAGAUGAACCAUCACAACAUAAUAUACAUGCUAUUCCCUUUGCCUCACGAUAUUUGGUCUAGCUUCAAGCCGACCGCUCUUUCUCAAUCCUGUGAUUCGGAAUCCCUUUGUAGGUUAACUCUUAACCGUACGUAGCAUGGCCAUGCAUUUUCGGAUCCGAUCACUCGAGGGGCCCAGAGAUAUCACUCUCAAUCAGAGAGGGGCAAAUCCCAUCUUGAUUGACCAUGUCUCAUAGCAUGCUUCUUGACAAACCCGAAAACUACCUUUAUAACUACCCUGUUACGGCGUAGCAUUUGAUAGCCCCUAAGUAGGUCGAUCCACAUCUAGAAUACAUGCGACAAUCUCAGGUCUAAGGACAAAGCGUAUAUGUUGUUUAAAGAGAGAACUACUUCUCGUGUUGGGUCAGUCCCAGCACAUGUCUCCACAUGUGUCCACAUUAUUAGUUCAACAUCUCCAUGUCCAUGACUUGUGAAACAUAGUCAUCAACUAAUACAUGUGCUAGUCUAAUAUUCAUGUGUGUCCUCACAUGAACUCCGACUAGGGACAACUUUAGAAUAACCAUACAAGUAAAGAGUUUCACAUACAAUUCACAUAAUUGCAAAUCAAUUCAAGUAGCCUUCAAUGGAUAUUCAAUGAACACAACAUACAAAUCAUGGAUACAAAUGGAAUAUCAUCAUCUCUAUGAUUGCCUCUAGGGCAUACCUCCAACAAUUAUUUCAUGUAAAUUUUUGACAAUUUUUUAAAAUUGUUUGAUAUUUUUUAAAUUUUUUUUAAAAUAACUUUGCCGAGUGUCCUAUUGUAGACACUCGGCAAAGCAGCCUUCACCGAGUGUUACCCCUGGGACACUCGGCGAAUUAAUGCCCGGCCGCUCAAGAAUAUGUGCCCGGCCCCCUCACUCUCCCGGCCCCCCUCACUCUCACUCCCCUCACUCCCUCCUCUCUCCCUCCUCUCUCCCUCUCGCCGCCGCCCGAAACCCCCGCCGCCGCCCGCCGCCCGGCAUGCCGCCCAGCGCCCCCCGCCGCCGCCCGGCGCUCCCGAAUCCGCCGCCGCCCGCCCGGCGCCCGGCCCCCGGAUCCGCCGCCGCCGGCCGCCCGGCGCCCCCGGAUUCGCCGCCGCCCGCCCGGCCCCCGGCCCCCGGAUCAGCCGCCGCCCGCCGCCCGGCGCACGGCGCCCCCGGAUCCGCCGCCGCCUGCCCGGCGCCCGGCCCCUGGCCCCCUGAUCCGCCGCCGCCCGCCCGGAUCCGCCGCCGCCCGCCCGGCGCCCGGCCCCCGGCCCCCGGAUCCACCGCCGCCCCCCCGGCCCCCGGAUCCGCCGCCCGCCCGUCCCCUCCACCGGAUCCGCCGGCGCCGGGGCCUGAAGAGAAGAGAAGAGGAGAGGAUGGUGGCGGCGGCGGCCGCGGCGGCGGAGCAGGUGGCAGAGCAUGCAUGAUUUUUUUUUAUUUUUUCAAUAAUUGUUCGCCAAGUGUUUUCUGGGCACUCGGCAAAGUCUUUGCCGAGUGCCCGACACAAAACACUCGGCGAACCAGUGUUUGCCGUCAAGAUUUUUGCCGUGUGUCGUUUGCCGAGUGUUACACUCGGCAAACGCUUUGUCGAGUGUUUUUGGGGUUUCGCGGAGUGACCCUGGCACUCGGCAUCACGCAUGUUUCCCUUAGUGAACUUGAAAUUAUCUGUACAUUCUCGGUGAAGCUGUUGAACUAAUUUUUGCAAAUUAUUAAUUCAUCUCAUUACGCAAAGAAAAAAGUAAGUGGAUAAGAUAUUUCGUGGACCACAUCACUGCAAACAUGUCAUGGAGAGACAGACCAAGGAGGCAGGACGUGAUACACGACUUACCCUAGGUUGCCGUGGAACCGCCAAGAAGAGAUACAGAUACAUGGACCACACCAUCUUGGGAGUAGUGACAGCAUAUAUGCAGAAGAAUACCCCGUGCCUAUUUGCAUGCAUGUCUCAAGUGAUCUGUUUUCUUCAGAAAAUACAUGAGCAUUGCCAGAAAGAAUGGCAAGAGACAAACAUGUCAUAGAGACUUGCAUGUCUUGCCUUGGAUACGCCAAGAAGAGGGACACAUACAUGGAUAACACAAAUCUAGUGACACGUAUAUUCAUCACAAAGGCAAAUCUGAUAAUUUUAUCCAUGGAGCAGACCAAGGAGAAAUUGAUGACGGACAUGUGAUCUCUGUAUUCAGUUGAAAGCUAAUUGAGCUACACUAAUAUGAGCAGGACUAUAUUCAAGAGACUUGUUGAGAGCUACAGGGAACUUGUAAUAAUUUGCUGGGCGGCCUGCGCACAAUGAUUUGUUAUACAUAGUUGAAAUAUUUCAAGAAUUUAUCAACCUCAUACUCUGAAACCCUUGGUGCAAUGUACUCUGCUUUCCGAGGUAGACUGUUCACGUAAAAUGAGGUCAUGCGUAAGACGGAAUCGGAUUGGAUUCACAGGGAAUCAGAUUUGGAUAGCACCUUUUAGCAGGUUUUUAGUCAAAUGCAAAUUCGGAUCCACAUGUGGUUGAAUGCGAGUUCAAAAUUCUACUUGGAUAUCCAUUUAAUUUAGGUGAUAGCAAUUAGCACAAAAUGUUGGAUGAACAAAAUCAUAGUUAGACAUACAAUUACAUGUAUGGUUAAAGUAUAAUACAAUACACCAAGAUUAUUCCUUGAAAAUAUUUCUUAAAAAUAUUAUAAUAAAUGAAUAAAUAUAAUUGUGGCCACCAACAAAUAGUCGGUGGUCGCUAAGUUGGAGCCAUUUCUGGUUACUAAUGCGGCCUUCUCCUCGACCAGCGACGACAGCUGAGCUUGUUCCUUCUGACACUAAAUCAUCAGAGUCUUCCCUCCACUACUAUAGAAUGCACCUUUAGCACCAAUUGGGAAAUCCCCUUCAGUAUUGGAUGCUGCAACCAGUGCUAUAUAUCAAAAUGGAGACUAAAAGCCUCGGUCUUGGGUACCGGUUGCAUAACGCAUUACUAAAGGAGGCAAAAGAGAAAUGUAACAAAAAAAAUAUUUUGAAUUCCAAGAAUGUUUCACUAUUCAAGAUGACUAGCUGAGAGUCAACAGACAAGAUACUAGGAAUGUGGGUGCUUGAAUGCAUUUGUACAGAGGUCAUACUAUUUACAAACUCUUCUAUGUUUCCAUAUGACUACCUACUUCAAUGUCACGCGAGCCAUUCAGCUGGACACAUGGCACACUAGCUUGCAUGUCGAAUCCAUGAUUAAUUAUUUGCACUUGUGAUCUCUUACCAGUAUUUGUCCAGACUAGAAACGUGCAACACAUUUUUAGGAUAUGGACACGCAUAUAUUUGGACUAGUAUACAGGUCACCUUUGGAUGCGUACAAGGAUGACCGGGAGGGACUAAUGGAUACAAGGAAGGGACCAUCAGGAUUAAUAUUGACAUAUGCCACAUGACAAUCUUCAUUGUCAUGCAAUCCCUAUCAACAAUCAUGGAAUCCCUAGUGUACUAAUCCCUGGAGGGUUGUGUGGAAAUUUAUUUUACCUUGCGGUGAAAAUCUCAUGAGCAGUCAUUAGUUAAGCUGACUAGCUGAGAUAUAAUAGACAAGCUAGUAAGAUUGGGAGCAUCAAUGCAUCCAUACAGGGUCACAAUAUCCUUUCCAUUCACUUUUAUAUAUAACCCUACGAAUACAAGUCCAACGAAAUGCGGGCCUUUCGAUCAAGAUAAAUUAAAUGGCCCACUUGUAUUUCUAAUCCAGGAUUAACUAUGCCCUCUGUUCAUCUCUUGCAAGCACGUGCAACACAUUUUCACGAUAUGGACAUGCAUGGAGGUUAUUAUACUGUUUGGACAAACUCUGAUGUGCCAUGACCUAAAUGCUUAGGGCCUGUUUGGUUUGAGUUGCUUAUUAUAAGCAACUUAAAGUUGCUUAAAGUUGCUUAUUUGAAGUUGCUUAUUUUUAGUCUAAACUGUUUGGAUACCCUUGCUUAUGAGCAUUGAAUGAGUUGGACAUUGUCAAAUUUGCCCCAUGUGUUGCUACCCCUCCAAUUUGCCUCCCCACCCUUCUUCUUCCUGCACACGUCCGAUCCCGGGGGCCGACGGCGGGCAGGGAGCAGCAGCAGCUGGCCAGGGCGGCGGUGGGGCGGGAGCGGCGGCGCACACCAGCACGCGCUCGCACGCCAGGUGCUAGGGCGCGGCGAGGCAGUCGUCGUAGCCCACCGGGAGCGGGUGCUCGGGCGCGAGGCGGUACUCGACGGAGAUGCCGAGCGUCGGGCGCGCGGCGGCGAGCGCGUUGAGGAAGCGAUGGUAGUGCGGCGACGUCGCGGACUCCGCCACGAAGCCGCCGCCGUGGACGUACACCACCACGGGCAGCUUCGUCUUGCCGUCGGCGGCCGCGGCCGCGGCCUGGGGUGGCAGGUAGAGGCGGACGGAGCAGGAGCCGAGGUCGACGUCCCUGGAGUCGACGCCCGUGGCGGCGUCCAGGCUAGGCCCGACCGGCGGCGGCACGAGCGGGCGCUCGAUGCGGCCGCUCUUGUAAAUCCGACGGGUCUGUGCGGAGGCGGGCGGCGGGCGGGAGCGGCGGGUGGGAGCGGCGGCAGGUGGUGCGGAGGCCGGCGGCGGCGGGUGGCGCGGAGGAAGGGGAGCUGGUGAGUGGUGACAGGGGAGGGGGGGAGAGAGAGGGGGGGGUAGGGUGCAUUGAAUGAGGGCAGGAGGUGUAAAGUGCACCUUUUAGUCCCCAUGAGCAACCAUAAGCAGCCCAAGAGUUGCUUAUUUGCUUAUAAUAAGCAACCUCAUAAGCAAGAGUGAUUGGUUUCAUAAGCAACUUAUUUGCUUAUUUUAAGUUGCUUAUGCAUAAGCAUGUGAAACCAAGCAGGUCCUUAACCUAUGGUUGUGGCACCACACAGUACAUAGUAUUUAAUAAUGCUAUUCGUUUGGUAUGUGCACAAGGGCACGCAUGAAAUGUCUGGCCCACGGUAAACAAGUACGGACGCUGCAAAUAAUCUACUCUGCUCGUCCAGUCCCUAGCCUAUAAAUAGAUGCCAUGCUAGCUCUUGUUGUGCUCACAAUUAAUCCUGACUACACACGAGCUUCUCUCCCUGGCCAAGACACAAUCAUAGUAUGAUGAAGAACAUGGCACUAGCCGGCAAUGGUAUGAAGAACUUAAUCCUCGCUGUUCUCUUACUGUGUCUAGUUAUAGGGCAGAUACAAGUGGAAGCUAAGAGCUGCUGCCCAUCCAUUACUGCAAGAAAUAUCUACAAUGCCUGCCGUAUCACGGGUACAUCCCGUCCAACGUGUGCAAAACUGUCAGGCUGCAAAAUUAUCAGCGGGGACAAAUGCAAGCCCCCUAACGACCACCUCACCCUUGACCCGGACACUGGUAAAUAAUAAAUUUAUCUCACUUGAUUUCUUCGUGUUUUGAGUCGUUAAUGUAUUUUCCAUCUGAUGAAACGUAUUGGUUUUGCAUUGAAGAGGAAGUUAAUGUGCUUAACUUCUGCAAGUUGGGGUGUGCGUCGUCUGUGUGCAACAACAUCAACGCUGGUAAGCACCUUUUGCUCAGACGGAGAAAACAAUAAUCAUUAAUUAGCGGCAGCUAGAAUCCUAUAAUCUAAUAUAUUUAUAUAUAUAUAUAAUUUUAUCAGCUCUGGGAAAUGAAGAGGCGAACGAUGCCGUUGAGAGUUGCGACCAAGCCUGCUCUAGCUUCUGCAACGUGCACGUUGGCGCUGCCACCGUGGUUGCUUAAGCAAAUGCAUCCAACUGGAUCGUCCUUGUGCUAAAUAAUUGGAUAUCGUAUCCACUUAAAGCUGCCUUGUGUAGUACGUUUUUGUUUGUGUCUCUCUUUAUAUUCCAAUAAGGUCGGUGAUCUUGAUGCCACACACUCAGACGUGUGUUCAUCUCCAGAUACUACUCCAUGCUACCUGCCCUUUGUGUUUUGUUCAAUAACUGGGUAUCAUAUCCCAGCCAGUGUGCCAUCUGUUUUGUGUUUAUUUCCUUCUAGUUUCAAAGGGGUUAUCAUGAUGUUAC